rnacentral:rRNA from 1 species
ACUGUCAAGAAAAGUCUCUAUCGAGGUUAAAGGUACCCGUACCGCAAACCGACACAGGUGGGUGAGGAGAGUAUCCUAAGGCCAGCGAGAGAACUGUUGUUAAGGAACUCGGCAAAAUGACCCCGUACCUUAGGGAUAAGGGGUGCCACCAUCAGGUGGCCGCAGAGAAUAGGCCCAAGCGACUGUUUACCAAAAACAUAGGUUUCUGCUAAGUCGCAAGACGAUGUAUAGGAGCUGACGCCUGCCCGGUGCUGGAAGGUUAAGGGGAUCUGUUAGAG